rnacentral:rRNA from 1 species
AUGGAUGGAAACUCAAGAUCUUCAUCAAAACGAGCGAAAUUGUUGGUCAUGAAGAUGGGUCCUCGGAUUAAGAAGCUCUCCAUCAAGCAACAGAAUGAGCGCCCGGAGAUUGAGAACAAAAUAUUAGCGAUUGAGAACCACAAAAUGCGCGAGAAGUUGACGACAUACCGAUGUGCUGCUUGCUUGAAGAUUGAAAAUGCCUGCCUGAAAGUCGAGCUCGCACGCUCAUUUCGUAAUGCUGCUGCAAUUCUAGAAGCUGAAGCACAAUCUGAAUUGGAUGUUGGGUUUUCCUCUACAGCACCCCAGGUUCCAGCGGAUACUAGCGCAACUGGACCACUCCAGCCAGGUGCAGCAGGGAGCCAAGAUGAACCGCGGGAGUAA